UACGGAGGGGGCUAGCGUUGUUCGGAAUUACUGGGCGUAAAGCGCACGUAGGCGGCUUUGUAAGUUAGAGGUGAAAGCCCGGAGCUCAACUUCGGAAUUGCCUUUAAGACUGCAUCGCUUGAACGUCGGAGAGGUGAGUGGAAUUCCGAGUGUAGAGGUGAAAUUCGUAGAUAUUCGGAAGAACACCAGUGGCGAAGGCGGCUCACUGGACGACUGUUGACGCUGAGGUGCGAAAGCGUGGGGAGCAAACAGG
rnacentral:rRNA from 1 species